rnacentral:sRNA from 1 species
CUAAAAAGAAAUCUAAAAAUCUUUACAUGUAGCUGAAAACAUCUCUACAAGAUAACGAUAGCCUGUUUUCCAUUUUAAUAUUGAUAGAUUUAAUUCAAAGAGACAGUGAGAAAGUCUUGAAAGUCAGUUGUAGGGAGACUUGAAGACAGCCUAUUUGAUAUGGUCACGGACGAUCAUGAAAGCAAUACAAGAUUUAAACAAGCCAACAAAAUGUAUGCCACAUAGUUGAAUGAUUACAAAAUAAGCCAAUGAAGACGUUUUUAAGGACAUGUGCGACCUUCUUCAGUUUAAGUGAGAUCCUUGUUGUUGGGGCUGGUUAGAGACACCAUGAUUCCCCACUGGUGUAACUUACUGACUCCGUGAUCAUGGGACAGGUAUUUCCAUCCAGCUUUGGUGAACUGUGAGCACUGGUAUACACCUGUGAUCCAGAUAGGACUCUCAACAACAUAGUGUCCACUCCAUGGAGUAUAUGCAGUCAUCAGUCCAUUCCGAGGAAACGGAAGAGAUUCGUAAUAACUGGAAAUCAGAUUCCAUGAGCUGGUGCUAAAAUGUGUGGAACACAAUAUGCUUCCAUCAAAAAAUGAUGAAGAGGAAACUCCAUUGAGGACUACUAAAUCUGAGACACUUGGAUACAACAUCAAACUAAAGAUCAAGAAUCUUGAGUUUUGGGAGACUAAUCCGAGCUUUUACAACAUGUCAAAAAAGCUACAUGAAACCCUCUCCAGUUUCUGUCAGGGUACAAGAAACGUUUCUCACAAAUAUGACAUCAGAUGUGCUCACACAGCCUUGGGGAUGAACCAUGACGCGGGCAGGUGUUACGGAAGUGACGUAGGUAUCAUGGGAGGAUACGGCGCAGGAUGGAGUUCAUUCAGCGUCAACGAUCUUCAUAACUUUCUUCAAUGGGUAUUUCUAGAAAUAGAUAGAAAACUUGAGAAAGCACAAUGUGUGUUCAGAGAGGCUGAAGCUUUAGCUGAGCUGAGCUCAUCUUUGAUUGGUCAGGAAUACAGUCCAGAUGACAUCUGUGAGAAUAGAUACGGUCCAAACUUCUUUUUAAGAAAGUUUGAGUAUAACUCGGACAUACCCGGCUCCUACUGUGGCGAAGGAAAAAUUUGCUUUAAACUAACUUGUACCACGUUUGCGGAUGCCAGACAAACCCCUAAAAUCAUCAGACCAGGAGGGUGGGGUCCUUGGGGAGCGUGGCAGUCCUGCUCCAGAACAUGUGGGGUGGGGGUAACAUACAGACGCCGAAGAUGCAACAAUCCAAGCCCAAUAAACCACCCAGGCUGUGAAGGAGGGGAUAGCAAUGCAAAUGAAGCCAAGAUUUGUAAUUCUGAGCCGUGUUCAGAUGAUAGUCCAAAACAGGCAGAUCUGAUUAAACAGAGAGCUUCAGAAACGUGUCUUACAAUGCUUGAAAAUAAAGUGUUGAAUUCGUCAGAGUAUAAUUCAACGGGGGAUAGAUACAGUCAUUCUGGAAAUUAUGUGUGUGAAGUUAGAUGUAAAGAAGUGGGUGAUUUCAAAUCGCCAUAUUUCACAAGAUUCGGCUUAAUGCCGCACGGUACCCCAUGCGAUGCCAAAGUAAUUAAGUACAUGGAUUUCAUGAGCUCACCUUGGCCAAGAAAGAAGGGCCUCACUCCUUUUUGUUUGGAGGGAUAUUGCAGGAUCUUUGGGUGCGACGAUGCUUUCCUUGGAGGGACAAAAGAGUUUGAUGAAUGUGGUGUUUGUGGUGGGGAUGGGUCCACAUGUGACGUCAUACAGGGAACAUUCACGGGUAUACCUGGAGAAGGUAAUAGAACUCUAAUGAUUGAGAUACCGAAAGGAGCAUAUAAUAUACAAAUUUGGCUUAACUAUUGGAUAAUGGAAAAUAACUUCAUAGAGAUGUACGAUAAAGAUGACGUCCCCGUUAUCGUCAGCCAUGUUGGAAGCAGCUGGGUGUGGAACACGGAUGAGAGUAAAAAUCCGGUCAAUUUUGCGAACACCUACUGGCAUUAUAAAUAUAUUGAGUACUUGUAUACAAUGGGACCUAUCUCCGAGCCUGCUAUCAUCAAGGAGCUGACUGUGACAGUCGUUGUAAUAUUUACUGCUUCAAUGGCACGACAUUGGACGAGUCCACUUGCACGUGCCAGUGUAAGGAACACCAGACGGGAAGUUAUUGUAAGUGUGAAACAGGAUAUACCGGGAAAGACUGCACGGAGAAAAAAAGUGAAUAAUUAA